GUGCCCACUUUGGCAGCACAUAUAGUAAAAUUGGAAAGAUGCAGAAAACAUUUGCUUGGUCCCCAUGCAAAGAUAAUACACAAAGAAACUUUUCAUAGUUUC
rnacentral:snRNA from 1 species